GGGGGGGGGGCAAGCGUUGUUCGGAAUUACUGGGGCGUAAAGGGGCGCGCAGGCGGGCGGGACAGUCUCUCGUGAAAUCCCACGGGCUCAACCGUGGAAUUGCGGGAGAUACUUCUCGUCUUGAGUUCGGGAGAGGAGUGUGGAAUUCCCAGUGUAGCGGUGAAAUGCGUAGAUAUUGGGAGGAACACCGGUGGCGAAGGCGGCACUCUGGACCGAUACUGACGCUGAGGCGCGAAAGCUAGGGGAGCAAACGGGAUUAGAUACCCCGGUAGUCCUAGCUGUAAACGCUGAGCACUUGGUGUAGCGGGUAUCGACCCCUGCUGUGCCGAAGCUAACGCAUUAAGUGCUCCGCCUGGGGAGUACGGUCGCAAAGGCUG
rnacentral:rRNA from 1 species